UACGUAGGGUGCGAGCGUUAAUCGGAAUUACUGGGCGUAAAGAGUGCGUAGGCGGUUCGUUAUGUCUGCUGUGAAAGCCCCGGGCUUAACCCGGGAAUGGCAGUGGAAACUGGCGGGCUUGAGUGUGGCAGAGGGGGGUGGAAUUCCGCGUGUAGCAGUGAAAUGCGUAGAGAUGCGGAGGAACACCGAUGGCGAAGGCAGCCCCCUGGGCUAACACUGACGCUGAGGCACGAAAGCGUGGGGGAGCAAACAGG
rnacentral:rRNA from 1 species